CAUCGGAUUCAGGGCAUUAAAACCUCAAUCUGCCUGUAGGCAUUGACAAUUCAAUCUUUCGUAUUUAUUUUAAUUAACAUUAAGCACAUAACAUACACAAUUUCAAAAUCUGAAAAUGUGCGGCUCUAAUGAUUGUCUCGAGAAAAUCUGUUGCCCGCUGGAGCCGAAGACGCUGUUCUUUAGCAUUUGGACAAUCGUACAUGGCGUCAUUUUUUUGGGAGCAGGAAUUUAUUUUUUAGUUACUGGAAGUUUGUGUCCACUAUAUGGAUCCAUUCUCAUAGUAGUAGCCGCCAUAGUGCAUCUUUUAGGUGGACUCCUCUUACUUUUUGGCUAUGGAAAUGACUCAAGACCCGUGUUUUUGGCUGGCAUCGUUCUGAGCUCCAUAGUACCCUAUCUACUAUUGCCAACUAUUUACCUACCAGUCGUUCAAAUAAUCUUUACUAUGACAUCAUGCAUGUAUUAUAAAAAGGAGAUGCCAAAAUAAUGCCAGACUGCAAGAUCCUGACUGAAGGUCAAAGUUUGAGAUUUCGAUUGUCGAUCAGGGAUCAAGGCAAUCCAUGACAAGUAUUUUUGAAUGCAAAUGGAAAUGAAUGUCCAGAAUGCAAUGGGAGAAUCUGGUUCUUAUAGAAAUUUAAAUAUGGAAUUCUAGAUAUUCCGAUUCCUAUAGAAACUUAACCUAAGGCGGAAAGUAAUCGAUAGGAAGUUUUUCUUACGAAACUUUAUACCUGCUUUAUAAUUUUCAGGUAUCUUCUAGUCCUGACUAUGAUUAUAUUCUAAUUAGAAAUAACCAAAAUUGUAGUACGUGCACAAAAUUCUAGUAAAUUAUUGGGCCUCCUCAAUUACAUUCAUGUAAUUGACACAAAAUUUUUGAAUGAAAUUAGCUGACAGAGUUGUUGACAUAAUUAAACAAGUAAACUAUGAAGUUGUGUUUGUUGUUAUUGUUGUUGUUGUUGCAGCACAAAAUCGUAUUGAACAUAACAAAUCUGGCGACUCAGGCUUGUAGUCUCGUAGGCACGUUAAGAAAGUUGAAAAAUCGAUAUUUAUCGAUAAGAAAUCAAAUGGGGGAGGCAUCGAGAAAAGAGAUAUAUGCAUGAGGAUUAUUCUAAAACUGUAGACUGCAAAAGUCCAUAAAUCGAUAUUUAUCGAUAAAAAAUCAAAUGGGGAAGGUAUCGAGAAAAAAUAUGUAUGUUAUGAAACCACAUUCCAAAUUUGCUGUCGCUGGAUCUUAUAAUAUCUGAAAGACGCUCAAAAAACCUAUUUGCCAAUCGAUAUUUAUCGAUAUUAAAGUAUCGAUCACAUUCGAACAUGGCAUGGUAGCAAAUGAAGAAGCCAAAGCCAACGAAAUGCCAGCAAGAGGCUGAUAUAGUGAAGGUAGGGUUGGGAGGGUCUUGGCUCGAGUAGUGGCAAAAGUAGAAGCAAAAUGGCGGAAAAAAGUACAGUUUUUGCAAAACAAAGAAUAGAAAACGAUGUCAAAUGCAAAUUGACAGCUUUCAAUAUAUAUAUAUAUAUUUUCAUUGGGUUCAGGGCAUUUAAACCUAAAUCUCCCCGAAGGCGUUGACAAUUCAAUCUUUUAAUCUGUUUAGAAUUAAGUAUAUAAAACAAAAUCUUGAAAUGUGCUGCUCCAAUGAUUGUCUCGAAAACGGCUGUUGCUCACUGGAGACAAAGGCGCUGUUCUUUAGCAUUUGGACUAUCGUACAUGGAGCACUUUAUGCGCUACUUUCAAUUUUAGAUUUUGUCGUUCAAAUAAUCUUUACUUUGACAUCAUGCAUGUAUUAUAGAAAAGUGAUGGAGAAAAAAUAAUAGACUGCAAGAUCCUGGACUGGAGGUCAAAGUUGGAGAUUUCGAUUGUUGGAGAAAUAGAAUUUUUAAAACCUAGUUUUAGUCGGAAAGUAAUCAACGGGAAAUGGUUUUACAAUAGAUUUUAGUUUUUAAAUACAAUUAUCCAAAAUUAUUGCACGUAUACAAAAUUUGUUAAUUACCGGGCCUCUCAAGUUAUAUUCAUGUAGUUGACACAGAAAUUUUUGAAUGAAAUUAAAAGCUAACAAAGUCGUUGACAUAAACAAGUAAA